GAUGAACGCUAGCGAUAGGCUUAACACAUGCAAGUCGAGGGGCAGCAUGGUUUUAGUUUACUAAGACUGAUGGCGACCGGCGCACGGGUGCGUAACGCGUAUGCAACUUACCUUAUAGAGGGGGAUAGCCCGUUUAACGACGGAUUAAUACCGCAUAUACAAGUAUAUUGGCAUCAAUUAACUUGGAAAUGAAUUUCGCUAUAAGAUAGGCAUGCGUCCCAUUAGUUAGUUGGUGAGGUAACGGCUCACCAAGGCGACGAUGGGUAGGGGAACUGAGAGGUUGAUCCCCCACACUGGUACUGAGACACGGACCAGACUCCUACGGGAGGCAGCAGUGAGGAAUAUUGGUCAAUGGACGCAAGUCUGAACCAGCCAAAUCGCGUGAAGGACGACUGUCUUAUGGAUUGUAAACUUCUUUUAUACGGGAAUAAUCACAGAUACGUGUAUCUGUUUGAAUGUACCGUACGAAUAAGCAUCGGCUAACUCCGUGCCAGCAGCCGCGGUAAUACGGAGGAUGCGAGCGUUAUCCGGAUUUAUUGGGUUUAAAGGGUGCGUAGGUGGUCUGAUAAGUCAGCGGUGAAAUCUCCGAGCUCAACUCGGACACUGCCGUUGAAACUGUUGGACUUGAGUGUAGAUGAGGUAGGCGGAAUGCGUGGUGUAGCGGUGAAAUGCAUAGAUAUCACGCAGAAACUCCGAUUUGCGGAGGCAGCUUACUAAGGUACAAACUGACACUGAAGCACGAAAGCGUGGGUAUCAAAACAGGAUUAGAUACCCUGGUAGUCCACGCUGUAAACGAUGAUUACUGGGCGUAUGCGAUAUACAGUAUGCUCCUAAGCGAAAGCGUUAAGUAAUCCACCUGGGGAGUACGCCCGGCAACGGUGAAACUCAAAGGAAUUGACGGGGGCCCGCACAAGCGGAGGAACAUGUGGUUUAAUUCGAUGAUACGCGAGGAAUCUUACCUGGGUUUAAACUUUGAUUGACCGUCCAAGAGAUUGGAUUUCCCUUCGGGGCAAUCAUUUAGGUGCUGCAUGGUUGUCGUCAGCUCGUGCCGUGAGGUGUCGGCUUAAGUGCCAUAACGAGCGCAACCCCUGUCUGCGGUUACCAUCAGGUAAUGCUGGGGACUCCGCAGAGACUGCCGUCGUAGGCGUGAGGAGGGUGGAGAUGACGUCAAAUCAGCACCGCCCUUACAUCCAGGGCGACACACGUGUUACAAUGGUGAGGAC
rnacentral:rRNA from 1 species